rnacentral:rRNA from 1 species
UACGAAGGGGGCUAGCGUUGCUCGGAAUUACUGGGCGUAAAGCGCACGUAGGCGGAUUGUUAAGUCGGGGGUGAAAUCCUGGAGCUCAACUCCAGAACUGCCUUCGAUACUGGCGAUCUCGAGUUCGGGAGAGGUGGGUGGAAUUCCUAGUGUAGAGGUGAAAUUCGUAGAUACUAGGAAGAACACCGGUGGCGAAGGCGGCCCACUGGCUCGAUACUGACGCUGAGGUGCGAAAGCGUGGGGAGCAAACAGG